CAGUGAUAAGGCUGGAAAGUUCGAUGUAUGAUGUAUAAAAGACGGCACGCCCCAGCCAUGAUCAGUUUUUCGACGGCCGACGCUCCAUUUGCCGCUAUCAGUGCACAGUGUGUAUUGCUGUAGUUUGACUUUCCAUUUCCCGGCCACAACUUCGGCCAAAUAAAGAGAGUCAUCUUCGACACGCCGACUGCUGCCUUUGUCGACGUCACUACCCCAUGACAAUAUCCCUGUGCUGUUACUCCCUGGUAUCCCUGGUAAUAUCCCUGGCAAUAUCCCUGGUAAUGUUACUGACAGGAUCAUUUGUGCUUAACAAAGCUGAAUGUGUGAAAGUGAGAUCGCUCCAAUUAUCCAAAUGUACACGAAGAGUGCCUAGGCAGCAUCUUAACAUGUAGCCUUGCUUUGUCCACUAGGUUUCAUGUGUAGCAUGUAUGUUGGAAAUCUGGUUUCAGGAAAUAGCUAUAUUAAAUGUUCAGGUGUUUGGGUGAAUGUAAUAAUACACAGAGAAAUAUUUUACUGAUAUUUAGCGCUGUGGUUUUCUGGGCCAAUUGGUACAAAGUGCUCCGUCUUCUGCUCGUGUAAUAACGUGCUGGAAUGCUUCUUUGUUACUGAUAUUUAUUCAGCAAAUUCUUUGAGAGCUAAUAAUGGCUAUGAAAAGCACAAAUUAGAUGUGACAGCACAGCCAGCUCAUAAGUCCAGUGCAAUUCAAGACUGCAUUUCGUGUAGUAGCAGUUUUCAUGAUUGAUCAUUUUGAUUUUGUUCGCUUUUGGUAAUAUCUUGUUCCCCCUCUUUUUCCCUAGGUGCAUUUCACCAAAUACCGAACGACUCUGAAGACACUGUUGGAUGAGAGCAUUAUACCAUGAACUGCUACAGUCUGCCUGUCACUGAAUAUAUCAUGUUGCUUUGAUAAUAGUUCUAGUUUUGAAUUACCUUGCAACUUUGCAACUGUUGUUUUGUGUGCUUUUGCUUUAUACACACUCUUUCAUGUUUUCCUGUGUAUGCUCAUGUAUUUGUGCUCUCUAGGUUAAAGCAUGUUCACUUUCUAGAACCUCUUUAUAAUUACUCUGUUUUUUAGAUGCACCGACAUAGUGAAGUUGAUGGCUCUCUAAAGUUUAUGUAUUGCAAGCAUUAUUAAUACAAGCGCACAGCAGGAAAAAUUUACUGAAAAGUUGUUUUUGAGUCCAAUAGUUAUAUUUAAAACAAUAUAAUAUUGUGAUUUUCUUCACUUGGUCGUAUUUAGUAAUCUUUGAAUUACGCAUCACUUUGCUCUUUCAACUUUUAGCUGAAAAAUAAGAAGUACCCUUUCUCUUGUUCUAUAUUGUUGUUCAGAGUCCCGUACAUACUAGUAUAAUGUGCUUUUUAUGGUAUCCUGAUAUGUAGAAAGGGAUGUUUGAAAAAUAUUAAGACAUUGCAACAGUAGAGGGCAAGAAAUUACCUUCAAAUGCAUUUCCGUGUGCUUCAGUAACUUCGACCUCUAGCAAUUACAUCUAUGUAGAUCAAGCAAAUGUGAAAGCUUUACCUUCUGUGUCUUCUUUCUAAAAUUGCCAUCAACCUUUCUUGAGUGAAGAAUUAUUGUCAAUCAACCGUAGUCUCACUUCCUUUAUUUGACGUUUCAUAACUACAGCUACAGUGGCUGCAUUGCUGUAAUGGUGAAAUGCAAGACCACCUGUGUACUCGUGUUUUUGUGGACAUCAGCAAAACAUAGAUUGUUCAAGAUUAACCCAGAUUUCCCCACUAUGGCAUGACUCGUAAUUGUAGUGUGGUGUUGCCAUGUAAAAACCUAGAAUUUAAAGGAGUACUUACACCAAUUUCGAAGGUGAGUUUACUCUGCCAUACAAAUCUCCUGUAUACAGAGACGACUCUGAGCAAGUAUGAAGCUUAAUAAACACUGAUAAGAUGUUUUAUUUUGACAUUAAAGUCUAUCUUCGCAUGGCGCACCUACUGAUAUCAAUACUAUCAUGACAUCGGGCUACAGUGUCAAUUCUGGUGACUUCACGCACCAGUAUGGCUAGUUCUGAUGAUGUCAGGUACCAAAACAUUCAAAAUGGCCGCUCGUGCAUAAUCAAAAACAUUAAAAAUGGUGGAUUGUGCAUUACCAAUGGAGCCACGGAGCAGAGCAGCCCUGGAAACGUUGCGACAUCUUGCGCAAGCACUUGACGAGAAGCUCAUACCGUGUUGUGACAUCGGGGUACGGUAGGAACCAAAACUGGCUUUUAAAAACAUACUGUAAUUACUUUUUCAGGGUACACUCACACUUACUAGUACAUUUUCUAGGCUUUUGAGGGCUUGGCCUUUCAUUUGACACAAAAAAAAAACUAAACUUUCACAUCAGUACUCCGUCAAAUUUGUUUUCUAUUCAAAUGAAAAGCAAUACUUAAGUAAGCUCUUGUUUUCUUUUGUGCAGCUUCAGGAUCUUUCAUCCAUCCAGCAACUGCGGAUGCUGAGAAGCCGCAUCGGGGACUCCGUCACCACUGCGACUUCUGUGACUACGAGACCAAUCAGUUAUCUCACCUGACACGACACGUGAGGAUUCACACAGGCGAGCGGCCGUUUAAAUGCCAUUUGUGCACGCUGGGCUUCAAUCAAAAGGUCACGUUGGACACCCACCUGCGCUUGCACACGGGCGAAAGGCCAUACAAGUGCCACAUAUGCCCCGACAGCUUCAAAAAAAGUUAUGCACUGGCCGUUCACCUGCGCACCCACACGGGCGAGAAGCCAGUAUAAAUGCCACCUGUGCACCCAUAGCUUCUCACUAAAAUCCACGCUGAACGAUCACCUGCUCAUCCAUUCGGGCGAGCGACCAUAUCAAUGCCCUUCGUGCCCCCUGGCGUUCAGGCAGAAACAGCAUGUCGUAAGACACAUGCGUCAUCAGCAUGAACAAAAGUGACCGUUUAAGUGAAGAUUGAGCUGUUUCAUGUAUUUGGUGAAGGCAGAUUUGACUGAUUAUUGAUCAGCAGUGUGGCAUUGCCGAGUUAUGUUCGAAUAACAUUAAACGGGACACUAAAGAGAGAAACGAUUUUUCUCAUAUUAGGGAAUUACAAUUUCACAGUACCCAAAAGCACAACUCUUGCCGCGAGAAGACGCUUGGUGAAUGAGAAAAUUUGUAAGAAAACACGGGUGGCGACACCACGUGGAAGUUCACGCACCAGCUCGCCGUGACGUCAUAGAUUUUGGAGGUGUCUGCUAGAGCCUACGUACAUGUUUAUCAGUAAAAAUUGUUUACAUUGUAUCUGAGGAACCCAAUGUUUCGAUAUAGCAAGAUUAAGAAAAUUUCAUUAAGCCAAUGUGACCAAAAUAAGUGAAAAGAUUUUGAAAUUCGUGAGGUCUCACUGACCUUCACAUGCUGAAGGUUUGGUGCAAAAUUCAAAAAUGGCACUUUCAUCUUAAUUUCCUCUUGUAACAAUUAUCCUAUGAUGGCAAAGUUAAAGACAGUAGAGUUCUGAAAGAAUAAUUUAUUUGUCUAAAUUGAUUUAAUGUAUCACUUUAGUGUCCCUCUAAAGCUGUGGGUUUAGUACCGACAACAUAGCUUCGUUAUUGUCACAAGGGCAUUGUUAUGAAUUCAGUAAUAUGUAAUGACAUUAUUCUGUUGUUGUUGUUUUUUUUUCAUUCUUCUUUGCCGUGUUCUUCAUUGACCUGUUGAAUAUUUCAUAUCUUAUAAGCUCAAUGAAAACUUGUACAUUUGUAUUUAUGAGCGACCAUACCUCUGUUGUCAACUCCAAAUCCUCUGUUCAAUUCAUUCACAUGAACACACGAUAGCAGCGAGCCAUUAUACCACCAAUUGGGGCACCGGCUGUCUGGCUGUACAUUAUGUAACAAUUAGAGUCUAAAUCUGUAAUCUAUGCAUACGUGUGUUUCAUGCUUUGCGGCAUUCGAGAGAGUUAGAACAGUUGUAUUUGAAAUAUCAACUAUAAUUUGACAAUGCUUGAUACUGAGCAAGAUGGUGCAUAGCUUUUCCUGUGUCUCUUGGCUUAUGUAAGAUUCCGUUCUGCUCUUCAUUUUUCUUAAAGAUAACUAUAGGGACACUGCAAACGAAAUCUUAGACUUUGGUGUGAUGGCUCCUAUCAUGUACAAUUGCAGUACGAUCUGAUCAUAGCACUGCACUCAGUACACUGUGGUAUCUUGAUGAAAGACAUGCAAGAGGGCAUGUUUCCAUUUGCAUCUGAGCAGGGGAGGGGCUAGGUGGAGUGAGAGAGGGGGAACUUGUUGAAAUGAAUGAAGGCUAUGAGUGCGGCUGUGCCGAAGUGGGAGGAGGCAAGUGUAGGCCCACGGCACAGGAGGCGAAAGUUGCGGAGGAAGCGCGCAUUUUCUUACAACAGUUUAUCCACGCAAUAAUGUUCGUAAAAAAGCAAUUCGCACACCCUACUAAGUAAGUAAUCUGUGUCGGUUUCAAAGGCUAACUAAGCAAGCCGAGAUUGCUAUGCGCGUAGUGUGUGCUCUCUCUGUCAACUCGCCCGGACCUCUGUCAUAAUUCUAAAGUGAAUUAAUAAAUUAGUUUAGACUGAUAAAUUAUACUCUGAAAACUCUAGUUUCAUUCAUUUCACCACCACACGUUUAUUAAUAGAGGAGAAACUCGUUGUCAAAAUUUUUACUUUUAAAUUUCCUGCUGAACUCUCCGAUAGUUACGACACGGAUUUCAAAGUGUUUUUUUUUUCUUCAUAUUUUGUCCACAAUGGCUCAACAAAAUUUCCUGAAACUUGGUAUGUUAAGUCUCUGGCUCCCUCAGAAUAUAAUGUACUUCAUUUUGACCAGUUGGGAACUACGUAGGCCCUAGUAGAUGCCGUCAAAAUCUAUGAUGUCACGGCAACCGGUGCAGGAACUUCAAAGUGGUGUCAACACCCACAUUUUCUUUUUGCGUGUUUUCUCACUUAACAAGCAUCCUCUCACAGCAAGCAUGGUGUUUUUGCUAUCGUGAAAGAGGAAAUCAUUAAUGCAAGAAAAAUCAUUACUCUCUUUCCUGUCCCUUUAAGCCAUCUUGGAGGAAUGCCUUGCGUUUUCUCACUUCUAUUAACGUUGUUCAUCAUGCCAGCAUUGCGAAAGCCAGUGUUCGCAGUCAUCGAGCAAUGUUUGUGUUUCCUUGUGCAUGCAUAGUGCCUAUGAAACUAUGAACCUUAUUUUGUGCAUAACUCUUUGAUGCAUUACUCUUAUUAUCAGUGCUUCCUCUUUUGGGCUGAACUGUGAUGUUUCCUUAGUUCCAAUUUGUUGAACUUUAAUGGCUUCAGAAAGUGAUACAUCAUCACGGAACGAGAUGUUCCAUUAUAAUGGGACAUAGCAUAGGCCACCAGUACUGAAUGCCGCUGGGGCGUUCCUUUGAGUAAGAUUUCAGCAAAUCGUAGUGUCGAUGAUUAUAUGAUAUUACUUGGUGAUGGCGCUUCAUUUAACGUCACUGAUUCAUUAACUACACCUCCUAAGCACCUGUGCCUGCACUCUAUUCAUGUUAAAUACAUAUUCUUAGAUAACUCACUAGCACGCUUUGUUGAUUGCUGUCUAUUUUAACACUCUUUGAAAUCAUAUGUUUACUUGUAAACUGAAAAAGUGCGAUUCUUUGCAGUUUUUCUUAAUUGUAAAUGUAGUUAUUUAUAGGGAUAUUGUACAGUCUCGGUGAGUAACAUCGUGGAUGCCUUGUGAUUUGUAUGAAAGCUAAACAAUCUUUGCAAGUUUUAAAGAACAUUAACAGGAUGCGUUGAUGUUCUUUUGUUAAUGUUCAAGUUGAGGUAUAUAUUUCAUCAUGUUUUUAAACCUGUUUUGUUAUUUUGGCAUUAGCAAAUGCUCUUUUGUGUUAAGCAACUCAUUGGAACGCUGUCAUAUCUUUUCAGGUGCAGAUAUUGUUAUUAAGACUCACACUUCAAAGCUGCGUUUCCUCUGGCUUCUGUAGUGUUUCUUGUAAAUGAUAACGGGGUUUUUCAUUUUGGGCUCGGACAUUUGUUGCUUCCAUGUUCUGUACAUGUAAGCUUUUUUGGGGCUCUAUCUUUAUUGCCUAUUACUAUUAUGUCUUAGCUCUUUCAUUGUAGUGUUGCAUGCAAACACUUUGUUGCAUGAAUUAAGCAUUUGAUGACAUGAUUACUUUUGUAAGUUUGUUUUGUCAUACUGAAUAAAUUGCUGGGAUUUGUCAAUA
rnacentral:lncRNA from 1 species